CUGGCUCAGAACGAACGCUGGCGGCAGGCUUAAUACAUGCAAGUCGAACGGCUGUAGCAAUACAGCAGUGGCAGACGGGUGAGUAACACGUGGGAACCUACCUAGGGGUACGGAAUAACUCAGGGAAACUUGUGCUAAUACCGUAUACGACCUCAGGGUGAAAGAUUUAUCGCCCCUAGAUGGGCCCGCGUUGGAUUAGCUAGUUGGUGAGGUAAAAGCUCACCAAGGCGACGAUCCAUAGCUGGUCUGAGAGGAUGAUCAGCCACACUGGGACUGAGACACGGCCCAGACUCCUACGGGAGGCGGCAGUAGGGAAUCUUGGACAAUGGGCGAAAGCCUGAUCCAGCCAUGCCGCGUGUGUGAUGAAGGCCUUAGGGUUGUAAAGCACUUUCGCCAGGGAAGAUAAUGACGGUACCUGGAUAAGAAGCCCCGGCUAACUUCGUGCCAGCAGCCGCGGUAAUACGAAGGGGGCUAGCGUUGUUCGAAAUUACUGGGCGUAAAGCGCACGUAGGCGGUUUUCCAAGUUGGAGGUGAAAUCCCCGGGCUUAACCUGGGAACUGC
rnacentral:rRNA from 1 species